UCCUUCCCUCCACCCCCCGGGGUGUGGCAUUGGAACCAAGAUGGGUCACACCAACUGGUUCCCAAAAGUAAUGACGGCGUCCGUGGGACCCUCGAUACAACGAGUUCUUUCGGGAGCACGUAUCGAGUUGCAAGGACCUUCCGGGCCGGUCAAACCCCAAAACAUUAUUUUUUCA
rnacentral:misc_RNA from 1 species